GCCGGGCUUCCCGUCACGGUCGUCGGGCUCGGCUCGAACCUGAUCGUGCGUGACGGGGGCAUUCCCGGCGUCGUUGUUCGACUCGGCGGCAAGGCG
rnacentral:tRNA from 1 species